rnacentral:tRNA from 1 species
GGAGAGAUGGGUGAGUGGCUGAAACCAACGGUUUGCUAAACCGUCGUACUGUGUAAAGCGGUACCGAGAGUUCGAAUCUCUCUCUCUCCGC